GUUCAUCUAGUUUAAAUAAAAUUUUUGUUUUGCAAACAAAUAAUGAGAAAUAUUUCUCGUUGGGCA
rnacentral:tRNA from 1 species